GUUUGAUCCUGGCUCAGGGUUAACGCUGGCGGCGUGCCUAACACAUGCAAGUCGAACGGUUCUAAGCGCGAGCUUAGGAUAGUGGCGAACGGGUGAGUAAAAGGUAGGAAUCUACCCUUGGACGGAGAUAGCUACUGGAAACGGUAGGUAAACUUCGAUAAGCCGAGAGGGGGGGAAAGUGGUGAGACAGCCGAGGGAUGAGCCUACUCUCCAUCAGGUAGUUGGUGAGAUAAAAGCUUACCAAGCCGAUGACGGAUAACCGGUGUGAGAGCAUGAACGGUCACAAGGGCACUGAGAGACGGGCCCUACUCCUACGGGAGGCAGCAGUGGGGGGGAAUCUUGGACAAUGGGCGAAAGCCUGAUCCAGCGACGCCGCGUGGAGGAAGAAGUCCUUCGGGAUGUAAACUUCUGAACUAGCCGAAUAAAAGGCCUGUGGACACACAGGAGAAGAAAGUAGGCUAGGAAAAGUCCCGGCUAACUACGUGCCAGCAGCCGCGGUAAGACGUAGGGGGCAAGCGUUACCCGGAAUUACUGGGCGUAAAGGGGGGGCGUAGGCGGUAAAAGAAGUCAUCUGUGAAAACCUAUUGCUCAACGAUAGGCUAGCGGAUGAAACUGAAUUACUUGAGGGCACCAGAGGUAGACGGAAUUACCCGAGUAGGGGGGGUGAAAUCCGCAGAUACGGGUAGGAACGCCGGUGGAGAAGUCGGUCUACUGGGGGGGUGCACCAGACGCUGAGGCCCGAAAGCUAGGGGGGGAGCAAACCGGAUUAGAUACCCGGGUAGUCCUAGCCGUAAACGAUGCUCACUAGGUGUAGGGAGUGAUAAACUCUCUGUGCUGAAGCGAACGCGCUAAGUGAGCCGCCUGGGGGGGAGUACGUCCGCAAGGAUGAAACUCAAAGGAAUUGACGGGGGGGUCCGCACAAGCGGUGGAGCAUGUGGUUUAAUUCGAUGGUAACCGAAGAACCUUACCAGGGAUUGACAUGUAACUGAAGGUAGAGAAAUCUACUGGCCUGCUGCAAAGCGGGAGGUUACACAGGUGGUGCACGGCCGUCGUCAGCUCGUGCCGUGAGGUGUUGGGUUAAGUCCCGCAACGAGCGCAACCCCUACGAUUAGUUACUAACGCGGAAAGGCGAGGACUCUAAUCGGACUGCCGCCGACGAGGCGGAGGAAGGAGGGGGGGAUGACGUCAGGUAAGCGUGCCCCUUAUACUCUGGGCGACACACGUGCUACAAUGGAGGGGGGACAAAGGGAAGCGAAGCCGAGAGGUGGAGCGGAUCCUAAAAAAAACUCUCCGAAAUACGGAUUGUAGGCUGCAACCCGCCUACAUGAAGUCGGAAUCGCUAGUAAUCGCAGGUCAGCCAAACUGCGGUGAAUACGUUCCCGGGCCUUGUACACACCGCCCGUCACGCCACCCGAGUUGGGAACACCUGAAGGCAGUACGGGAGGUACUGUUGAAGGUGGGCUUGGCGAGGGGGGGCGAAGUCGUAACAAGGUAGGUGUACCGGAAGGUGCGCCUGGAUCACCUCCUU
rnacentral:rRNA from 1 species